GUCGAACGAACUCUGUGUAUUGAUUGGUGCUUGCAUCAUGAUUUACAUUUGAGUGAGUGGCGAACUGGUGAGUAACACGUGGGAAACCUGCCCAGAAGCGGGGGAUAACACCUGGAAACAGAUGCUAAUACCGCAUAACAACUUGGACCGCAUGGUCCGAGCUUGAAAGAUGGCUUCGGCUAUCACUUUUGGAUGGUCCCGCGGCGUAUUAGCUAGAUGGUGGGGUAACGGCUCACCAUGGCAAUGAUACGUAGCCGACCUGAGAGGGUAAUCGGCCACAUUGGGACUGAGACACGGCCCAAACUCCUACGGGAGGCAGCAGUAGGGAAUCUUCCACAAUGGACGAAAGUCUGAUGGAGCAACGCCGCGUGAGUGAAGAAGGGUUUCGGCUCGUAAAACUCUGUUGUUAAAGAAGAACAUAUCUGAGAGUAACUGUUCAGGUAUUGACGGUAUUUAACCAGAAAGCCACGGCUAACUACGUGCCAGCAGCCGCGGUAAUACGUAGGUGGCAAGCGUUGUCCGGAUUUAUUGGGCGUAAAGCGAGCGCAGGCGGUUUUUUAAGUCUGAUGUGAAAGCCUUCGGCUCAACCGAAGAAGUGCAUCGGAAACUGGGAAACUUGAGUGCAGAAGAGGACAGUGGAACUCCAUGUGUAGCGGUGAAAUGCGUAGAUAUAUGGAAGAACACCAGUGGCGAAGGCGGCUGUCUGGUCUGUAACUGACGCUGAGGCUCGAAAGUAUGGGUAGCAAACAGGAUUAGAUACCCUGGUAGUCCAUACCGUAAACGAUGAAUGCUAAGUGUUGGAGGGUUUCCGCCCUUCAGUGCUGCAGCUAACGCAUUAAGCAUUCCGCCUGGGGAGUACGGCCGCAAGGCUGAAACUCAAAGGAAUUGACGGGGGCCCGCACAAGCGGUGGAGCAUGUGGUUUAAUUCGAAGCUACGCGAAGAACCUUACCAGGUCUUGACAUACUAUGCAAWUCUAAGAGAUUAGACGUUCCCUUCGGGGACAUGGAUACAGGUGGUGCAUGGUUKUCGUCAGCUCGUGUCGUGAGAUGUUGGGUUAAGUCCCCAACGAGCGCAACCCUUAUUAUCAGUUGCCAGCAUUAAGUUGGGCACUCUGGUGAGACUGCCGGUGACAAACCCGGAGGAAGGUGGGGAUGACGUCAAAUCAUCAUGCCCCUUAUGACCUGGGCUACACACGUGCUACAAUGGAUGGUACAACGAGUUGCGAACUCGCGAGAGUAAGCUAAUCUCUUAAAGCCAUUCUCAGUUCGGAUUGUAGGCUGCAACUCGCCUACAUGAAGUCGGAAUCGCUAGUAAUCGCGGAUCAGCAUGCCGCGGUGAAUACGUUCCCGGGCCUUGUACACACCGCCCGUCACACCAUGAGAGUUUGUAACACCCAAAGUCGGUGGGGUAACCUUUUAGGAACCAGCCGCCUAA
rnacentral:rRNA from 1 species